AAGUGACAUAGCCCAGGGGUUUACCUGCUUCUGUUGCACAUCUCUUUAUAUCCCCAUUUAUAAGUUAUUAAGGAUCAAUAAAUGCGAGGAGGCGGGAUAAACAAUGAAGCCAGUUUUAAUGGGCCACUUAAAGGAGCUCUUACAGAAUCCACUUUAAAGUGAAACACAUGUCAGGUUGUGGUUUUGACCGUCGUGUUGUGGCGUUAACUCUCCGUCCCACAUGCACCAGCUGUCCUGAUCAGCACCACAGAACACAACAGGUGUCAAAUCACUGUAUACGUGGAAGUAAUGUUUAAAAAAAGAAUAUCCAUAAAACUAACGACAAUAAUUAUAUCCGUAAUAUCUGAGAAUUAUUAUUAUAGCAAUAUAUGUUCCCUUCGUACAAUUUUACAUACAGUUUACAUCUAUAGUCACUUGAUUUUUAUUAUUUUUUUAAUAACUGACAGCAGUAUCGUGUUCCUGUCGAUCUUCAGAUGUUCCAGUUGUGAUUGGCUGGUGAGCUCCACCGAGGGGAACCGAAACACCGACUCACGUGACGUCAUACACAAAAAGCCCCGUUUAUGGAGGAGGUCCAGUGAGGAUGAAGAACUUAAACUCUAAGAAAUGACUCUAGAAGAUCUGACAUCAGUGUGAUGGAGCACAUCGACAGCGGCGGUUUCUACUUUAGCUCUAAAAGCUCCCUGGUUUGUGCUGAAAUGUGACUCCUACCGAGCUCGGCCUAUCGCGGAGCUGCUCUACUGUCUGUGCACUUCAAAUCAAAAAAUGGCGUCCUCUUCGGAAAUCAAAAGUCAUGCCUAAGGAGUCUGUGAAAAUGAAAAAAAAAGGCAGAUUUGUGGCAUUAAACUGCCAGUGUGAGGUAAAGCCUGUACCCACAGAGCAGAGUGCAUCAACUCAUGAACGCUUUUCUAUGCAGACGACUGGUAGCAGCUGCUGCCUGUUAGCUUCUCACAGCAGGGUCGGAUCCCAAAGAAACUCCAACCAGAUCUCCUCAAAAUCAGCUGAUUCUUUGUCUGCAGUGACUUUAGUUUAUUUACUGAAGCCUUGCAAAGUUUUACCUUCAUACUGUGAAUACUUUCUGAGUUACAGGGCCUUAAAGUACAUAAAAGUCUGACAUUUUGCGAUUUUUAAUGGACUUUUUCUCCAUCAUUUCUGAGCCUCAUAACUUCAUCAGUACAGCAGAUAGACAAAUGACAUUUUCAGGGCUGAAAAACACUUAGAAAAUUGCACACAGCAUGAAAAAUGAGACACAAAAUGACAAAAAUGGCAAACAAAAUGACCACAAUUAGAAAAAAAUUCUCCCAAAGACUUAAUAAAAAACAUGAAAUUGAUGCAAAAUGACAGAAGAGGAACAAAAAAAUGAACAAAGAUGAGAAAAAAAAUAACAAAAACCAGACACAAAAUAACAAAAAUAAGAUGCAAAAUGGCCAAGUCCAGGUGUGACAGUCUAAACACUAAAUUGUCUAGACCUUGUUCUGACCAACUACCCAUCACACAUGCUGAUAUGAGUUGAAAGUUUACCCAGAAUGCACUUUCCCCCCCUAAACUUGUCCAUAAUGACGCACAAACUGUGUAAAAUGACUCAAAAUAUGUCCAAAAUAACUAAAACUCACCCAAAAUGAUCAGGCAUGUCUCUUAAGUUGCUCAAUUUUUGCCCAAAAUGACAAAAAUUCCUCCACAAUGACGCAAAAAUGAUCAAAAAGUGUGUAAAAAUGCUCCUUUCAUUGCCUAGAACGUGUUCUGACCAACCACCCAUCACACAUGCUGAUAUGAGCCUUGAAAAUCUACCCAGAAUGCACUUUUUAGUGUUUAGAUUGUGACACCUGGAUGGAUGCAAAACUGAUUUGU
ensembl:lncRNA